CCCCGUGAACUGGGGGGAUACGGCUCCCCCUCCAGAUCCGGCGACGGCUUUUGGCCGUUGACAAAUUCAACCUAAGGAG
rnacentral:ncRNA from 1 species